rnacentral:rRNA from 1 species
GAGUUUGAUCCUGGCUCAGGACGAACGCUGGCGGCACGCCUAACACAUGCAAGUCGAACGGAGAUAUGAAGAUUUAUCGGAAUAUCUUAGUGGCGGACGGGUGAGUAACACGUGAGCAACCUGCCUUUGAGAGUGGAAUAGCUUCUGGAAACGGAUGGUAAUGCCUCAUAACAUACAAGAAUCGCAUGGUUUUUGUAUCAAAGAUUUAUCGCUCAAAGAUGGGCUCGCGUCUGAUUAGAUAGUUGGUGGGGUAACGGCUCACCAAGUCGACGAUCAGUAGCCGGACUGAGAGGUUGAACGGCCACAUUGGGACUGAGACACGGCCCAGACUCCUACGGGAGGCAGCAGUGGGGAAUAUUGCACAAUGGGGGAAACCCUGAUGCAGCGAUGCCGCGUGGAGGAAGAAGGUUUUCGGAUUGUAAACUCCUGUCUUAAAGGGCGAAAAUGACGGUACUUUAGGAGGAAGCUCCGGCUAACUACGUGCCAGCAGCCGCGGUAAUACGUAGGGAGCGAGCGUUGUCCGGAAUUACUGGGUGUAAAGGGAGCGUAGGCGGGAUUUUAAGUCAGAUGUGAAAUACGUGGGCUCAACCUACGGGCUGCAUUUGAAACUGAAAUUCUUGAGUGAAGUAGAGGCAAGCGGAAUUCCUGGUGUAGCGGUGAAAUGC